GUGGGGAAUAUUGGGCAAUGGGGGAAACCCUGACCCAGCAACGCCGCGUGAGGGAAGAAGGUUUUCGGAUUGUAAACCUCUGUCCUUGGUGACGAAGGAAGUGACGGUAACCAAGGAGGAAGCCCCGGCUAACUACGUGCCAGCAGCCGCGGUAAUACGUAGGGGGCAAGCGUUGUCCGGAAUGACUGGGCGUAAAGGGCGUGUAGGCGGCCGAUUAAGUCUGGAGUGAAAGUCCUGCUUUCAAGGUGGGAAUUGCUUUGGAGACUGGUUGGCUUGAGUGCGGAAGAGGUAAGUGGAAUUCCCAGUGUAGCGGUGAAAUGCGUAGAGAUUGGGAGGAACACCAGUGGCGAAGGCGACUUAUUGGGCCGUAACUGACGCUGAGGCGCGAAAGCGUGGGGAGCGAACAGGAUUAGAAACCCGGGUAGUCC
rnacentral:rRNA from 1 species